rnacentral:tRNA from 1 species
GGGGUUGUGGCUCAGCGGUAGAGCCCUCUCUUAGCACAUGCGAGGCCCUGGGUUCGAUCCUCAGCACCACA